rnacentral:rRNA from 1 species
GACGUAGGAGGCGAGCGUUAUCCGGAUUCACUGGGCGUAAAGCGCAUGUAGGCGGUUGGAUAAGUCCGUUGUUAAAGCCCCUGGCUCAACUGGGGGAGGUCAAUGGAGACCAUUCGACUUGAGGGCAACAGAGGCACAUGGAACUCCCGGUGUAGCGGUGGAAUGCGUAGAGAUCGGGAAGAACACCCGUGGCGAAGGCGGUGUGCUGGGUUGCAACUGACGCUGAGAUGCGAAAGUGUGGGGAGCAAACAGG